rnacentral:rRNA from 1 species
GAGACCCGUAUCCCCCGUUGCUACCAGCCUUGAGCUGGGCACACUGGGGAGACCGCCGCCGAUAAGGCGGAGGAAGGAGCGGGCCACGGCAGGUCAGUAUGCCCCGAAUCUCCCGGGCCACACGCGAGCUGCAAUGGCAGGUACAAUGAGUCCCGACCUCGAAAGGGGAAGGAAAUCCCGAAAGCCUGCCGUAGUUGGGAUCGAGGGUUGAAACCCACCCUCGUGAACAUGGAAUCCCUAGUAAUCGCGCGUCACUAGCGCGCGGUGAAUAC